GUGAUCUUCUCACCUCAGCUUCCCAAGUAGCUGGACUACAGCUCAUCAACACUACAAAUCUAAAGCUGAAAGCUCAGGGUACGGUAAUGACAGAUGGAAACUUCAUUACAGAAAGCAAUGAAGAACACCCAAGUGGUAAAUAUGUGGCUGGUCUUGGCUCAUUCCUGCUCCUCCCUGCUAGUAUCUCAAAGCCACCUUACAGGAAUGUAAAAGCCACACUACCCAAUUACUGCAACUCAAAGGAUAAAUGUCAACAUCUAUACAAAGUAUUGUCAGAAAGAGUGUGAAAAAAAGGUGUAGACCAGACCCAUGACUUGCUCCUAAACAACAGAAUAUGACAAAUGGAAUGGCACGUCACUCCCAUGAUUAUGUGAUGUUAUAUGACUGUGUCUUGCUAGCUGGCUGGCUCCACAGACGUUCUCUCUCCCUUGCUGGCUGUGAAGAAGCAAGCUGCCAGAACUCCUAAAGCCACAUGGAGCUCAUUGCUGCCAAAAGGAAUUGGGAAGCAAAUCCUUCCCUAGCUGAGCCUCCAGUUGAGAGCCAGUCCUGGCCAACACCUUGAAUGUAGCCUUGUAAGACCUUCUGAGGAGGACCAAGCUAUGCCGUAUCCAGAUGUGUGACCUGCAGAAACUCUGAGAGCCUUUGAUGGGAAUUCAGCCCAGCUGACACCUUGAUGUCCACCUUGUGAUACCUUGGGAAGAAUCCCUGCCCCACCAUGCUGAACUUUUGAUCUACAAAACUGUGAGCUAAUAAAUGGAUGUUGUUUUAAGCA
rnacentral:lncRNA from 1 species